rnacentral:rRNA from 1 species
UACAGAGGUCCCAAGCGUUGUUCGGAUUCACUGGGCGUAGAGGGUGCGUAGGUGGCGGGGUAAGUCGGAUGUGAAAGCCCGGAGCUCAACUCCGAAAUGGCAUUGGAAACUACCUUGCUCGAGGGUUGGAGGGGGGACUGGAAUUCUCGGUGUAGCAGUGAAAUGCGUAGAUAUCGAGAGGAACACCAGUGGCGAAGGCGAGUCCCUGGACAACUCCUGACACUGAGGCACGAAAGCUAGGGGAGCAAACAGG